rnacentral:tRNA from 1 species
UUACAGACAUAGCUCAGUGGUAGAGUAUAUGGUUGGCAUGCACAAGGCCCUGGAUUCAAUACCCAGCACUGCAAA